rnacentral:lncRNA from 1 species
UAGAGUUAAAGGGUGGGGUUUAGGAUUUAGGGUUUAGAGUUUAGAGUUUAGGGUUUAGAUUUUAGGGUUUAGGGUUUAGGGUUUAGGGUUUAGAGUUUAGGGUUUAGGGUUUAGGGUUUAGAGUUGAGAAAUGAGGUUUUGGGGAUAAGAUUUGAAAUUUUGAAAAAUAAAAAAAUUAAAAUUUUCAAAGGAUAAACUUA